AACGCGAAGAACCUUACCAGCCCUUGACAUGUCUCGUAUGGUUACCGGAGAUGGUUUCCUUCAGUUCGGCUGGCGAGAACACAGGUGCUGCAUGGCUGUCGUCAGCUCGUGUCGUGAGAUGUUGGGUUAAGUCCCGCAACGAGCGCAACCCUCGCCCUUAGUUGCCAUCAUUUAGUUGGGCACUCUAGGGGGACUACCGGUGAUAAGCCGAGAGGAAGGUGGGGAUGACGUCAAGUCCUCAUGGCCCUUACGGGCUGGGCUACACACGUGCUACAAUGGCGGUGACAGUGGGAUGCGGAGGGGCAACCCCGAGCAAAUCUCCAAAAGCCGUCUCAGUUCAGAUUGCACUCUGCAACUCGAGUGCAUGAAGGCGGAAUCGCUAGUAAUCGUAGAUCAGAACGCUACGGUGAAUACGUUCCCGGGCCUUGUA
rnacentral:rRNA from 1 species